rnacentral:rRNA from 1 species
CCUACGGGUGGCUGCAGUAGGGAAUCUUUCACAAUGGGCGAAAGCCUGAUGGAGCAACGCCGCGUGCAGGAUGAAGGCCUUCGGGUUGUAAACUGCUUUUAUCAGCGAGAAAUAUGAUGGUACCUUAUGAAUAAGGAUCGGAUAACUACGUGCCAGCAGCCGCGGUCAUACGUAGGAUCCGAGCAUUAUCCGGGGUGACUGGGUGUAAAGAGUUGCGUAGGUGGCAUAAUAAGUAGCUAGUGAAAUCUGGUGGCUCAACCAUUCAGACGAUUAGCUAAACUGUUAAGCUCGAGACCGUUAGGUGUAACUGGAAUGUCUAGUGUAGGAGUGAAAUGCGUAGAUAUUAGAAGGAACACCAAUAGCGUAGGCAGGUUGCUGGGACGGUUCUGACACUAAGGCACGAAAGCGUAGGGAGCAAACGGGAUUAGAUACCCUAGUAGUC